rnacentral:tRNA from 1 species
UAGAAUGUGGUGUAAUAUUGGUAGCACGAAGAUUUUUGGACUCUUAGGAUUAGGUUCGAUUCCUAUAAUUCUAG